AAUGGGCGAAAGCCUGACGGAGCAACGCCGCGUGAGGGAGGAAGGCCUGUGGGUUGUAAACCUCUUUUCUCUGGGAAGAAGACCUGACGGUACCAGAGGAAUAAGCAUCGGCUAACUCCGUGCCAGCAGCCGCGGUAAGACGGAGGAUGCAAGCGUUAUCCGGAAUUAUUGGGCGUAAAGCGUCCGCAGGCGGCCAAUUAAGUCUGCUGUUAAAGCCUGGGGCUUAACCCCAGAUCGGCAGUGGAAACUGGUUGGCUAGAGUACGGCAGGGGUAGAGGGAAUUCCCAGUGUAGCGGUGAAAUGCGUAGAUAUUGGGAAGAACACCAGUGGCGAAGGCGCUCUACUGGGCCGAAACUGACGCUGAGGGACGAAAGCUAGGGGAGCGAAAGGGAUUAGAUAUCCUGUA
rnacentral:rRNA from 1 species